UCCUUAAUAGCUCAGUGGUUAGAGCUAUCGGCUGUUAACCGAUGUGUCGCUGGUUCAAUUCCAGCUUAAGGAG
rnacentral:tRNA from 1 species